UGUCUCAAAGAUUAAGCCAUGCAUGUCUAAGUAUAAGCAAUUAUACAGCGAAACUGCGAAUGGCUCAUUAUAUAAGUUAUCGUUUAUUUGAUAGUACCUUACUACUUGGAUAACCGUGGUAAUUCUAGAGCUAAUACAUGCUUCAAAUCCCGACUUCGGAAGGGAUGUAUUUAUUAGAUUAAAAACCAAUGCCCUCUGGGCUCCUUGGUGAUUCAUAAUAACUUUUCGAAUCGCACGGCCUUGCGCCGGCGAUGGUUCAUUCAAAUUUCUUCCCUAUCAACUUUCGAUGUUUGGGUAUUGGCCAAACAUGGUUACAACGGGUAACGGAGGGUUAGGGCUCGACCCCGGAGAAGGAGCCUGAGAAACGGCUACUACAUCCAAGGAAGGCAGCAGGCGCGCAAAUUACCCAAUCCCGAUUCGGGGAGGUAGUGACAAUAAAUACUGAUACAGGGCUCUUUUGGGUCUUGUAAUUGGAAUGAGUACAAUUUAAAUCCCUUAACGAGGAACAAUUGGAGGGCAAGUCUGGUGCCAGCAGCCGCGGUAAUUCCAGCUCCAAUAGCGUAUAUUAAAGUUGUUGUGGUUAAAAAGCUCGUAGUUGAACCUUGGGCCUGGCUGGCCGGUCCGCCUCACCGCGAGUACUGGUCCGGCCGGGCCUUUCCCUCUGUGGAACCCCAUGCCCUUCACUGGGUGUGGCGGGGAAACAGGACUUUUACUUUGAAAAAAUUAGAGUGCUCCAGGCAGGCCUAUGCUCGAAUACAUUAGCAUGGAAUAAUAAAAUAGGACGCGUGGUUCUAUUUUGUUGGUUUCUAGGACCGCCGUAAUGAUUAAUAGGGACAGUCGGGGGCAUCAGUAUUCAAUUGUCAGAGGUGAAAUUCUUGGAUUUAUUGAAGACUAACUACUGCGAAAGCAUUUGCCAAGGAUGUUUUCAUUAAUCAGGAACGAAAGUUAGGGGAUCGAAGACGAUCAGAUACCGUCGUAGUCUUAACCAUAAACUAUGCCGACUAGGGAUCGGACGAUGUUAUUUUUUUGACGCGUUCGGCACCUUACGAGAAAUCAAAGUGCUUGGGCUCCAGGGGGAG
rnacentral:rRNA from 1 species